rnacentral:lncRNA from 1 species
CUUGCACUGGACCUCAGACACUCUGAGGACAGAGCCCCAGUGUGAUUCAGCUCCAUACCCCUAUAUCCACAUGACUCAGCUCCGUACCCCUAUAUCCACGACUCAGCUCCAUAUCCCUAUAUCCACAACUCAGCUCCGUACCCCUAUAUUCACAUGACUCAGCUCCGUACCCCUAUAUCCACAUGACUCAGCUAUGUACCCCUAUAUCCACAUGACUCAGCGCCGUACCCCUAUAUCCACAUGACUCAGCGCCGUACCCCUAUAUCCACAUGACUCAGCUCUGUACCCCUAUAAUCCACAUGACUCAGCGCCGUACCCCUAUAUCCACGACUCAGCUCCGUACCCCUAUAUCCACAUGACUCAGCUCCGUACCCCUAUAAUCCACAUGACUCAGCUCCGUACCCCUAUAUCCACGACCCAGCUCCGUACCCCUAUAAUCCACAUGACUCAGCUCCGUACCCCUGUAUCCACAUGACUCAGCGCCGUACCCCUGUAUCCACGACUCGGCUCCAUACCCCGAUAUCCACGACUCGGCUCUGUGCCCCUAUAUCCACAACUCAGCGCUGUACCCCUACAUUCACGCAACUCAGCUCCGUACCCCUAUAAUCCACUUUACUCAGUGCCGUACCCCUAUAAUCCACAUUACUCAGCGCUGUACCCCUAUAUCUACAUGACUCAGAGCCUUACCCCAUAUCCAUGUGACUCAGCUCCUCACCCCUAUAUCCACGUGACUCAGCACCAUGCCCCUAUAAUCCACUUUACUCAGCGCUGUACCCCUAUAUCCACCGCACCUAGCGUGUGGGAAGUU